GCCGCCUGAAAGUCGCCCCGUCUGUGCCCGUGGCCGCGGGUGAGACUCGGCGCCUACAGCCACCGGGGCUUCAGCUCGUCCCCCGCUGCCUCGUGCCGGGCCGGGGCGGGGGGGGGGGGCGGCGUGAAACGCAGGCCCCGACAGUG
rnacentral:snoRNA from 1 species